AGGGCUCUCAGGGGUCGUUCUAGGGGGAGGAGCAUCAGCACCCCGGGGCCCUGCUGGGAAAGCCAGCUUUCAGGCUCUGCUGAGACCUCCUGAAUUGGAACCUUAGGGUGGGCCUCGCCAUCGGAGUUUUAACAAGGCCUCCAGAAGAUUCUGACACUCACCAGAGUCUGAGAGACACAGCAGAGCUAGAACCCGGGCUCCAGUUUUCACCCAGGAGACAGGAGGAUUCUGGCUGGAAGGGCAGGAGGGACUGGGGUCCCCCCCAGAAGGAGCGCCCCAGGACGAUGCCACACAAGAGAGUCUUCAGAGACUGGAAAUGCUUGCCAGGGAGGAAGAACCACUUUCUGUCCUCCAUCCUCAGGAGCACAGAAGGGUGAAGCUGAGCCCACAUAGAGAAGCAUCUCAUGCUGUCUGCAGCGGCUGCAGCGCUCUCCUGGGGCAGGAGAUGCUCAAAGGUCAACAUGACUUUGAAAAGGGGCUGGGAGAAAAGCCCCCAGUGCUGGCUCUGGACUCACUAUCCCAGGGCUCUUAAAGGGCUAAACAUGACUAGAUUGUAGUGAGCCUUUCCUAACAUGCAAAGAAGCAUCCAGGGAUAAUGUCUAAAUACAGAUGUGCUAUUUCUCUCCUC